GAUGAACGCUGGCGGCGUGCCUAAUACAUGCAAGUCGAGCGAACGGACGAGAAGCUUGCUUCUCUGAUGUUAGCGGCGGACGGGUGAGUAACACGUGGAUAACCUACCUAUAAGACUGUGAUAACUUCGGGAAACCGGAGCUAAUACCGGAUAAUAUUUUGAACCGCAUGGUUCAAAAGUGAAAGACGGUCUUGCUGUCACUUAUAGAUGUAUCCGCGCUGCAUUAGCUAGUUGGUAAGGUAACGGCUUACCAAGGCAACGAUGCAUAGCCGACCUGAGAGGGUGAUCGCCCACACUGGAACUGAGACACGGUCCAGACUCCUACGGGAGGCAGCAGUAGGGAAUCUUCCGCAAUGGGCGAAAGCCUGACGGAGCAACGCCGCGUGAGUGAUGAAGGUCUUCGGAUCGUAAAACUCUGUUAUUAGGGAAGAACAUAUGUGUAAGUAACUGUGCACAUAUUGACGGUACCUAAUAAGAAAGCCACGGCUAACUACGUG
rnacentral:rRNA from 1 species